UAUCUGGCAAUCAGGCUGGUGAUGGAGACAAUAAUAUAUUGAUAUCUGGGGUCUUUUUGGAAGAAGAUCAAGAAACCGUUUCUUCCAAUCUCAAUCAAGUGCAAGAGGCUGGGGAGAGUGUUGGAGGAAUAUCUGGCAAUCAGGUUGGUGAUGGAGACAGAAAUGUGGUGAUAUCUGGGGUCUUUUUGGAAGAUGAUCAAGAACCCGUUUCUUCCAAUCUCAAUCAAGUGUAAUAGGCUGGGGAGAUUGUUGGAGGAAUAUCUGGCAAUCAGGUUGGUGAUGGAGACAGAAAUGUGGUGAUAUCUGGGGUCUUUUUGGAAGAUGAUCAAGAACCCGUUUCUUCCAAUCUCAAUCAAGUGCAAGAGGCUGGGGAGAUUGUUGGAGGAAUAUCUGGCAAUCAGGCUGGUGAUGGAGACAGAAAUGUGGUGAUAUCUGGGGUCUUUUGGAAUAAGAUCAAGAACCCGUUUCUUCCAAUCUCAAUCAAGUGCAAGAGGCUG